UUUUGGACAAUGGGCGCAAGCCUGAUCCAGCAAUGCCGCGUGAGUGAAGAAGGCCCUCGGGUUGUAAAGCUCUUUUGUCAGGGAAGAAACGGUGAGCUCUAAUACAGUUUGCUAAUGACGGUACCUGAAGAAUAAGCACCGGCUAACUACGUGCCAGCAGCCGCGGUAAUACGUAGGGUGCAAGCGUUAAUCGGAAUUACUGGGCGUAAAGCGUGCGCAGGCGGUUAUGUAAGUCAGAUGUGAAAUCCCCGGGCUCAACCUGGGAAUGGCAUUUGAGACUGCAUGGCUAGAGUGUGUCAGAGGGGGGUAGAAUUCCACGUGUAGCAGUGAAAUGCGUAGAGAUGUGGAGGAAUACCGAUGGCGAAGGCAGCCCCCUGGGAUAACACUGACGCUCAUCACGAA
rnacentral:rRNA from 1 species